rnacentral:rRNA from 1 species
GACGAACGCUGGCGGCGUGCUUAACACAUGCAAGUCGAACGGAAAGGCCCUGCUUGCAGGGUACUCGAGUGGCGAACGGGUGAGUAACACGUGGGUGAUCUUCCCUGCACUUCGGGAUAAGCCUGGGAAACUGGGUCUAAUACCGGAUAGGAGCCAUUUUUAGUGUGAUGGUUGGAAGUUUUUUCGGUGUAGGAUGAGCUCGCGGCCUAUCAGCUUGUUGGUGGGGUAAUGGCCUACCAAGGCGGCGACGGGUAGCCGGCCUGAGAGGGUGGACGGCCACAUUGGGACUGAGAUACGGCCCAGACUCCUACGGGAGGCAGCAGUGGGGAAUAUUGCACAAUGGGCGCAAGCCUGAUGCAGCGACGCCGCGUGGGGGAUGACGGCCUUCGGGUUGUAAACUCCUUUCGCUAGGGACGAAGCUUUUUGUGACGGUACCUAGAGAAGAAGCACCGGCUAACUACGUG